rnacentral:rRNA from 1 species
UGAGCCUACGGGGCGCAGCAGUGAGGAAUAUUGGUCAAUGGCCGAGAGGCUGAACCAGCCAAGUCGCGUGAGGGAUGACGGCCCUACGGGUUGUAAACCUCUUUUGUCGGGGAGCAAGACCCGCCUCGUGCAGGCGGAGCGAGGGUACCCGAAGAAAAAGCAUCGGCUAACUCCGUGCCAGCAGCCGCGGUAAUACGGAGGAUGCGAGCGUUAUCCGGAUUUAUUGGGCGUAAAGGGCUCGUAGGCGGUUCGUCGCGUCCGGUGUGAAAGUCCAUCGCUUAACGGUGGAU